UACAUAAUAACGGUAAAGGAAUUAAACAAAUGUAUAAAUGUGCCUUAACCAUGAUUAGUUAAAACUGUAAUUAUACACUUUCUAGUUAGUUAUGCAGAUAGCUGAGUUAAUUGAUCAUGUUAGCUUCUCGAAUCAAGUACAGUUAGUUACAAUUUUGUUAGAGCUGAGUCAGUUAGAAAUAUUGUAUAUAAGUGGUCCCACUGUAUAGAAUGAUGUAAUCAAGGAAGCAGAAUACAUUCUUUUCUCAUGAUUAUUUUUCCAGUGUUCUUAGCUAUAUUUCAGUGUUCUUAGCUUAUGUACAGUUCAAACAACAAUUCAUUAAAGUCUUCAUGGUAUACGAGCAAGGAUCGAUCAUGUUGCAGGAACUCUCAGUUGAUUUCAUCCAUGGCAAUUCCCCCGAUCAAUCAUUUACAUCCUCUCUACCUACAUCCAUUAGAUGCACAUGGUUCUCUUAAUGUCGGGAUCAUGCUCACUGGAACUGCGAUGCGAUUGACCGUGCUUGGGAAGAACAAAGUAGACUUCAUCGACGGAUCAAUGAUGAGGGAUCAGUUUUCAUGAAAUUUAGAUCGACUUUGGCACAGAUGCAAUGCGAUAGUCGUCUCAUGGAUUCUCUGCAAUGUAAGUAAAGAUUUGCAUAGUGGAGUUCUUUUCUGUUCAGAUUCGCAAUUGAUCUAGGCAGAUUUUAAGGAGAGAUUUAACAAGGUUAACAGUUGUAGGAUUUGGGAGAAAAUAUAUGCAAGACCAAAUUGGUGCGAUGGUUGCGCUUUUGGUUAUAUCUUUUUUUUUUGCUGACAAGGGAAAUCCGCAGCCGCUACCCUUUGGGUGCGCACAGGGUAAAACAUCCUUCUAUGCAAUAGCUCGCAAACCACAUAGGAGAGGUAACCUGCACCAGGCAAGCCUGGUGCAACGAGCUCGACCCAAAAGGCAAACCCCUUGCUUUCGCUGGCAAGGGGUUGCACUUUUGGUUAUAUCUAUAAUCCCAAUAUCUGCUUCUUUUUUCUCUUGUUCUCCUGGUAUGUGUUUAAUCUCUUAAUUGCUAGCUGUUGCAUUCUAUGAAGUAGAUUGGUAUGAGUUAAUGUCAUUAUAUUGCGGAAAUAAUUGUAUCUUAGAGACUCAUUCCGAGUAUGCACAUUCUUUGGACCAUAACAUGAUGCCUCCUUUAGAACUGGAGUAACAUUUCUUGCAUGCAUCUCCCUGGAAGAAUUAUAUCCAGUUUGAUCAUCACUGUUCUUUAGACCAUAGCAUGAUGCCUCCUUAUUAUUGCUUAGUACUUGUGAAGCUGAGUCUCUUACAUGUAACUAAGCAACUCUGAUGCAUCUAGAAGCACAGAAAAAUUUUUCUUAGAAGGAAUAGAUAUGAAUGCCAUUGCUUGCAAGAAUCUUAGAGAUUGACAGAAAUUCUUAGAAGUUUAUGCUGUAGAAUAGUGUCCAGGGUUAUUAAAGGCACCCCCAACCGAAGCAUUGCAGGGCUAGCUGCAUUUGAAGUAAGAUCUUCUUGUCUUUCUAUAUAUGGCAAAGAUACCUGCAAGACCAAAACCUUAUUAUUAGUUUGUCCGUCUCUUAAACCGACUCUCCAGGGUUCAUGCAGGGUGGAGGGGGUGGGGUGAGGACCAUUUUCCUCACAAGAAAUUGUGGCCUAGAUAAGUUGAGACUUGUCUGAGUGACAUUUGAAGAACCAGGGGAUGGUACUCCUCCAUUCAAUGUCAUUUACUUCACUUCUUGGCAAGCCAUUUAAUGUCAUUAACUUCACUUCUUGGCAAGAUUUUAGUUGAGAAGCUGAGUCUUGUUGCCUGUCCAAGAGGGUGUCCUUUGCUGGAAAAUUAAAUUGUUGAAAUAGCUCAACUGCUUUUUACGUAUAUAUGCUAUAUGUUGAAUCCUCUUUAGUUUUUUCAGCGCCUACUGCUUUAUAUUUUGACUUUUGUUAGUGAAAAUCUUGGCUCGGCUCCGUGUAGUGCAUCCAUUUGGGACUGAAUGGUUCACAAAGUUGUUUUUGGUCUUAAUUAUGUAGUCAGAAGUGCUAGUGACUAUCAUUUAGCAUUAGCCAAAUCUGUAACAUGUCUACUUUGCUGCUGUUGCUAUGCAUAUAUUCUUGAUGAUUAGAUGUCUUGAGGGGCUAGAUUUGUCUAAGUAGUGUCGUUUUAGUUGCUGGUUAGAGUUAUGCAAAUAUUAGUUAUAUAAAGAUUAAUUAUGAAAAAAUUAGUAGUAAUAUAGAGAUUAGUCUGGCAAAAAUCAAAUUAGUUAUGUGGAAAUUAAUUACAUAGAGAAUCGUGAAAAAGAGAUUAUUUAUAUAUGAAAUGUAAGAUCUCUGUAUAAAAUGAUAAGUUUUCCUAUUAGUUAUUCGAUCUUCUAUUCUACGCAAAAUGAUACAUCUAUAUUUGGAAAAACAUGAACCCAACAUUUUUAUAUGGAAAAGAAAAAAAUAAUUAUGAAGACAACCAAACAAGCACUUGUUUCUUUGGGGUGCGUGGGGCCAGAAAAUGACUUUGUUUUGUGAAAUUAGUAAAGCUCAUUAUGUACUCAUUGUAGAAUAUGUAAUUGUUUUUGCCUUUUUAUUACUAAGGUUUUGAAAAUUUUCAAAUUUGUUUUGGUAGAAACAUUAUUUUAUUUAUAAAAUUUAGGAAAUUAGAGAAAUUUUGGUGCCAAAUGCCUAAAACCUAAAAGUACGAAAUGAAAAAAAAAAGAAAAGAAAAAUCUAGCUUAGAAUGUUUGUGUAGAGAAGUUUUUGAAUGGAAAAAAUCCUUGAUAGAAAAUAUUUCCCUCUAAUGAAGCCUUAAUGCGAAUUUGAAACAGUCAAAUUUUAAUGUGUAUACCG